rnacentral:rRNA from 1 species
UACAGAGGUGGCAAGCGUUGUUCGGAAUUACUGGGCGUAAAGGGCGCGUAGGCGGUUCGAUAAGUCCCGUGUGAAAUCCCUCGGCUCAACUGAGGAACUGCACGGGAAACUGACGGGCUUGAGUUCGGGAGAGGGAAGCGGAAUUCCGGGUGUAGCGGUGAAAUGCGUAGAUAUCCGGAGGAACACCGGUGGCGAAGGCGGCUUCCUGGACCGGUAUUGACGCUGAGGCGCGAAAGCUAGGGGAGCAAACGGG